rnacentral:rRNA from 1 species
GUAGGGAAUAUUGCGCAAUGGGGGAAACCCUGACGCAGCGACGCCGCGUGAGUGAUGAAGGCCUUCGGGUCGUAAAGCUCUGUUGCAGGGGAAUAAAAAAAUGAAGGUACCCUGUGAGGAAGGAUCGGCUAACUUCGUGCCAGCAGCCGCGGUAAGACGAGGGAUCCUAGCGUUGCUCGGAAUCAUUGGGCGUAAAGAGGGCGUAGGUGGCUUGGUAAGUCAGGUGUGAAAGCCCAGGGCUCAACCCUGGAAGUGCAUUUGAUACGGCUGAGCUUGAGUGUCGGAGAGGUUACCGGAAUACCUGGUGUAGUGGUGAAAUACGUAGAUAUCAGGUGGAAUACCGGAGGCGAAGGCGGGUAACUGGACGAACACUGACACUGAGGCCCUAAAGCGUGGGGAUCAAACAGGAUUAGAAACCCUUGUAGUCC